GAUGAACGCUGGCGGCGUGCCUAAUAUAUGCAAGUCGAGCGAAUGGAUUAAGAGCUUGCUCUUAUGAAGUUAGCGGCGGACGGGUGAGUAACACGUGGGUAACCUGCCCAUAAGACUGGGAUAACUCCGGGAAACCGGGGCUAAUACCGGAUAACAUUUCGAACCGCAUGGUUCGAAAUUGAAAGGCGGCUUCGGCUGUCACUUAUGGAUGGACCCGCGUCGCAUUAGCUAGUUGGUGAGGUAACGGCUCACCAAGGCAACGAUGCGUAGCCGACAUGAGAGGGUGAUCGGCCACACUGGGACUGGAACACGGCCCAGACUCCUACGGGAGGCAGCAGUAGGGAAUCUUCCGCAAUGGACGAAAGUCUGACGGAGCAACGCCGCGUGAGUGAUGAAGGCUUUCGGGUCGUAAAACUCUGUUGUUAGGGAAGAACAAGUGCUAGUUGAACAAGCUGGCACCUUGACGGUACCUAACCAGAAAGCCACGGCUAACUACGUGCCAGCCGCCGCGGUAA
rnacentral:rRNA from 1 species